rnacentral:rRNA from 1 species
GAUGAACGCUGGCGGCGUGCCUAAUACAUGCGAGUCGAGCGAACAGACGAGGAGCUUGCUCCUCUGACGUUAGCGGCGGACGGGUGAGUAACACGUGGAUAACCUACCUAUAAGACUGGGAUAACUUCGGGAAACCGGAGCUAAUACCGGAUAAUAUAUUGAACCGCAUGGUUCAAUAGUGAAAGACGGUUUUGCUGUCACUUAUAGAUGGAUCCGCGCCGCAUUAGCUAGUUGGUAAGGUAACGGCUUACCAAGGCAACGAUGCGUAGCCGACCUGAGAGGGGGAUCGGCCACACUGGAACUGAGACACGGUCCAGACUCCGACGGGAGGCAGCAGUAGGGAAUCUUCCGCAAUGGGCGAAAGCCUGACGGAGCAACGCCGCGUGAGUGAUGAAGGUCUUCGGAUCGUAAAACUCUGUUAUUAGGGAAGAACAAAUGUGUAAGUAACUAUGCACGUCUUGACGGUACCGAAUCAGAAAGCCACGGCUAACUACGG